rnacentral:rRNA from 1 species
UAAUAGUGUAUAUUAAAGUUGUUGCAGUUAAAAAGCUCGCAGUUGAAUGUUGGUGUCGAACGAGCGGUCAGCUUCGGCUGUACUGCUCUCUCGACUCCUUCCUUCUGUGGACUACGUCGCACUUUACUGUGUGGCGCUAGGACGCAGAUCGUUUACUGUGAAAAAAUUAGAGUGUUCAAAGCAGGCCGUACGCUUGAAUACAUUAGCAUGGAAUAAUGGAAUAGGACGUCGGGCCUAUUUUGUUGGUUCUAGGACCGUCGUAAUGAUUAAUAGGGACAGUUGGGGCCGUUUAUAUUCCGUAGUCAGAGGUGAAAUUCUUGGAUUUACGGAAGAUAAACUACUGCGAAAGCAUUCGGCAAGGAUGUUUUCGUUAA